UAAGGAUUAAGGAUAACUGUCUAUACAUUUCCUCUCCUUGUCCAGCACUACUAUGUCCAGUUGAUUAGCAGGUUGGUUAUCACCAGUUCAUCUGUAUGUAUCUGGAAGUCACACAGGAUCUUAGCACGGUAAUUCGCGACAACCCUUGGGGGCAUGUCCCAUUUUGACUUCGGGACUUCCAGGCCGUACUCAGCACAGACAUAUUACUAUAUACUAUGCCAGCCACUUGGCAUUCCAUGUAUGCCCUGCCUGCUAGCAUCUUGCACCCUGCUGUCUCAGCAACAUCAUUACACAGCCUGCACAUGGUGUCUUGCCUGGUGUGGUAGAACUCAGCCUCUAUGGAUCUUAAACAUUCCAGCCACUUCCUCUAUCUGCCAAUGGUACAUACCAUGCAGGGGCUUGUCCUUCCAUGAUGCCUCCUCCCCUUGGUCUUCUUUCUUGGUUUUCUGCUGCCUGAGGCAUUUACUAAGCAUGCGGUCAGUUAUGAUCAUCUUCCUGAUGUACUCAUGGAUAUUCAUUGUCUCAUCCUGGAAAAUGGUUCAGACAUGCAUUAGUCCUCGGCCUCAUUCCUUCCACUUAGCGUUCAGGCUCAGGGUGCUGGACUGGGAGUGAAACCCUCCAUGCAUGGUAAGGAGCUUCCUUAUGUGUGUGGCAUUCAUUACUGAAUACUGACUUACUGAAAGCCUCAGAAUCCUUUUGCUCGCAUGAUGUGAGGAAAAAUGUUAAAAUUAGCCCAUAAAAAUUGAUUAGAUUUUGACUCCAUGUCUUUGAUAGAGUGCCCACCACAAGUAGACAUUGCCUUUCUGUUGGAUGGUUCAGGCAGCGUAUCAUCUCCUGAUUUUCAAACAAUGAAGAAGUUUGUGAAAGAUCUAAUCCAAUCAUUUGUCUUAAAUGAUGCACAGUUUUCUGUUUCCCAGUUCUCUACUUCACCAUGGGUUCACUUUUACUUUAAAACGUUUUCUUCAUCUGGAUCAGUGGAGACUGACAUCAAUGAAAUCCAGCAAUACAGGGGAGCUACCUUCACAGCUAAGGCCAUCAGACAUGUUGUAAACACAGUUUUCAUACCACAAGAAGGUAUGAGACCUAAUGCAAAGAAGGUCUUGAUAGUAAUUACUGAUGGACAAUCUAUGAUCGGACUAUCUGGGAGGUGCAGCACAGCUAGCAGAGAGUAAAAACAUUGUUCG